rnacentral:lncRNA from 1 species
CCAUAUAUAAAUCUUCGAACAAGGCCAUGAAAAAUAGUGAAUGAACUUUAAGGUCUGGCCACCAAGUGUUUCAUGUGGAAGACAUCAGGGGAGGUAAGUAUCAAAAGCCUAACUGAGAUCCAAUAUGUUUCUACCCUGAGGAAGAAAGAGGUAUCAUCUACCCUCACAAUGACCCAUUGAUCGUGGAAGCUCACAUAGCCAACUUUGAAGUACGAUGACUCCUCGUAGACAUGGGGGCUUCAGUUAAUAUCAUGUUUGCUGAAGCUUUCAGGGCACUUAAUGUAGCUGAACACUUGCUUGAUCACUCAAUUUCCCCUUUGAUAAGCUUCUCUGGUAAUAUCGUGCAACCUUUGGGGAGCAUACACUUACCUUUCACCAUUGGUACAGGCCCUUACAAAGCUACC